AUGAGGGAGCAGGUCAUCCGCGAGCUCAAGAAGAUUGUGACGGAUUGGGCCAAGGCGGUGGCCUGUGAGGAGAGGGUUCCCCCGAGGCGAGUGACGGCUGCGGUCCUGACCUAUGGUUCUUACACGUUAGGGGGUUUGGACAUCAAUGCUAUUCUCGAUUUUGUGGCUUUCGUACCAUUCUCUUGGGAAUGA
rnacentral:rRNA from 1 species